GGUAGUUGUAGCUCAGUGGUUAAGAUGUUGGACUACUGAUCGGAAGGUCAUUAGUUCAAAUCUCGGUACUGCCA